UUGUGUCCAACGAAGCUGGGAUUUGGGUGUAUGAUGGGUGUCUCAUUGGUGGCAAGCCCUGGAAGUGGUGGUUGUGGUGGUGUGGUGUGCAUGUAUUGCAACUCGUCCAGCUCUUCUUCCAAAUCUGCUAGCUGUCCUUUUGCUUUGUUUAACUUUGCCAACUUACUGGCUGCUAGUCUUUGCGCCUAUAGCUCUUGGGUGAAUUUUUCUUUUUCUUUUUUCAAUGUUUCAAGCUGUUUUAG
rnacentral:lncRNA from 1 species